rnacentral:tRNA from 1 species
GGUGACUCAGUGGUACAGUGCAUGCCUUGCGUGCAUGAGGUCCUGGGUUCGAUUCCUCAGCACCA